UACGUAGGGUGCGUGCGUUGUCCGGAAUUAUUGGGCGUAAAGAGCUCGUAGGCGGCUUGUUGCGUCGACCGUGAAAACCCGGGGCUCAACUUCGGGCUUGCGGUCGAUACGGGCGGGCUAGAGUUCGGUAGGGGAGACUGGAAUUCCUGGUGUAGCGGUGAAAUGCGCAGAUAUCAGGAGGAACACCGGUGGCGAAGGCGGGUCUCUGGGCCGAUACUGACGCUCAUGCACGAAAGCGUGGGGAGCAAACAGG
rnacentral:rRNA from 1 species